rnacentral:rRNA from 1 species
UACGGAGGAUGCGAGCGUUAUCCGGAUUUAUUGGGUUUAAAGGGUGCGUAGGCGGGACCUUAAGUCAGCGGUAAAAAUGCGGGGCUCAACCCCGUCGAGCCGUUUGAACUGGCGCGCUUGAGUUCAGGCGAGGUAGGCGGAAUGCGUGGUGUAGCGGUGAAAUGCAUAGAUAUCACGCAGAACUCCGAUUGCGAAGGCAGCAUACCGGCGCCCGACUGACGCUGAAGCACGAAAGCGUGGGUAUCGAACAGG